UAGAGUGUAGAGGAGGCAGGUUGCCUAGUGGUUAGAGUGUAGAGGAGGCAGGUAGCCUAGUGGUUAGAGUGUAGAGGUGGCAGGGUAGCCUAGUGGUUAGAGUGUAGAGGAGGCAGGUAGCCUAGUGGUUAGAGUGUAGAGGCGGUAGGUAGCCUAGUGGUUAGAGUGUAGAGGAGGCAGGUAGCCUAGUGGUUAGAGUGUAGAGGUGGCAGGGUAGCCUAGUGGUUAGAGUGUAGAGGUGGCAGGGUAGCCUAGUGGUUAGAGUGUAGAGGAGGCAGGUAGCCUAGUGGUUAGAGUGUAGAGGAGGCAGGGUAGCCUAGUGGUUAGAGUAUAGAGGUGGCAGGGUAGCCUAGUGGUUAGAGUGUAGAGGUGGCAGGGUAGCCUAGUGGUUAGAGUGUAGAGGUGGCAGGGUAGCCUAGUGGUUAGAGUAUAGAGGUGGCAGGGUAGCCUAGUGGUUAGAGUAUAGAGGUGGCAGGGUAGCCUAGUGGUUAGAGUGUAGAGGCG
ensembl:lncRNA